CCUCGUCGACGCGCGGUUCUGCGCACGCCACACGACGACGUUAACGGUGACCAGAUCGAGCUCCUUGCGGGGCCACGGGUUCGACGUCACGGACGCCGCCACCGGCGCGGCCGUGAUGCAGGUGGAGACCUCCUACUUCGGCCACUACCGGGACCUGCGCACGCUCCUCCUGCUAGGGGCCGCCUCGCGACACCCCUUGCUCUUCACGAGGAGUCCACGUCCCUGAUCGGCAUGGGCCGGUGGGAGGCGUUCAGGGGGCGGUGCGGGAGCCAGACGGACCGGCUCUUCCUCGCCGUGGACAAGGCGUCGUUUUUCCAGCUGACGGCCAGUGUCCACGUGUUCCUGGACGGCAACUCCUCCGGCCAGGGGGCGCCCGACUUGGCCGUCCACGGCAGCUACUACCACGGCGCGAUGACCGUCUCCUGCGGCGGCGCAGUCGUUGCGCAGAUCGACAGGAAGAAGAACACCUUUUGGGGCGAGCUGUGGGGAGAGCGCGCGUACAACGUGAGGGUCAACCCAGGCGUUGACCAAGCGUUCGUCGUGGCACUCACCGUGGUUCUCGACCAGAUG
rnacentral:rRNA from 1 species